GUAUUCGGUGGUAGUAUUUAAAUGAAAUUUUCAAAACCUCAUGUCAUCUAUGCAUAACAUUCUUUCUCUCCAAAAUUCAGAAGUUUUCUUUUCUAUUCCUUCUCUUUAAAAUUCUUUUCCUUCUCUCUAUAAAUUCUCAUCUUAUUCUUCAUCUAAUCCACAAUCAGAUUACGAAUAAGCCACCCUAGUGGCAAGGACUUCCGUUAUCACCGAUCAAACUUGGGUUUUGAACGGGUGUCCCUAGGAUUUUCUGGUGUUAAAGCAAUUUUUGGAAAAGAUAAACGUUGUUUGGUUCGGCCAAAGAGUAUUCUCCUUUGCAAUGAUCAUUCUAUAGAUGUGAGCAAAAGGAGGAGAUACUUUUGUGGAGAAGAAGAUGGAAGGAGAAGACCGAUCGUUUAUGUUAAGAGUAUGACCGUUCAACUUUGUACGCUUUUAGGAAACAGCUUGGUACCAUU